UGUAGUCUUCUGGACUUCUCCAUUCUUCUUUCUCACACAAGUGAGAAUGUUCUUGGCCGAUCCCCUUUCUCCUCUCCUCUUAUUUUUCUUCUCAGUUAAAAUUUGCUGAUGUUGGAUACCACCCAUCAGGUUGCUCUCUUGAUUCCCUGCAUUCAGGAUGCUCGUCCUAACCUGAAGCCACCCCCGCACCUGGUGCUUCGACGGGGUGACCAUCGACGACGAUUGAGGGUUAGCAGGGCCCAAGGAUCUACUACACCAGAGUCUAGGCGAGGUCAUCGAUCUGGACGCUGCCGUUGAUGCUGUCGUCCGUGCAGUUGAUUUGGUCUUGGAUAUCAUCUCCCGCAGGUCUGCAACGGCAACAUUGUUCCAAGUUGAGCUGCAGGUGAUAUCAUAUUUGUGACAUGAAGAGUAAGAGAGCCACAUGUCAAUCUUAAGGAGGUGUUUUUUGGGAAUGUUUAUAUGCUCCAUUCAUGCUAUGUGUCUUCAUCUCCAGUUGGAUGGAGCUGCUGGAAUUACGACAGGAACCCCAUAGCAUCUGAGGUUGACCAAAUACAGGAACCAACUAUAUGGAGCUGCUGGCAUUAUGAAAGGAAACCACUAUAGCAUCUGAGAGCUAUCCUGUGGUCACUGGAGGAAGACAAUUCUGAAGUUGAUGUCGAAGUUUGGGUCGCCGGAGGAAGAUGAUGUGGGACCAAGAUCAUGUAGAAGUUGUAACCUAAAAUCUCGAGGACAACGAACCUAUGAGGUUGUGGGGAAGGUCUUAUAUGGAUGGUUAAGUUUCUCAUGUUUGCACGAUGGAAAAAAUUGGAUUCUGUGUGGACACAUUCUGUUUGGAGAGAUAUGACAGUUUGUUUUUUUAAGCACAUUAGAACCUUUUUUUC